rnacentral:rRNA from 1 species
AAUGGGCGAAAGCCUGACGCAGCAACGCCGCGUGCGGGAUGACAGCUUCGGGUUGUAAACCGCUUUCAGGAGGGAAGAAAAUGACGGUACCUCCAGAAGAAGCCCCGGCCAACUACGUGCCAGCAGCCGCGGUAACACGUAGGGGGCGAGCGUUGUCCGGAUUUAUUGGGCGUAAAGAGCUCGUAGGCGGUUAGACAAGUCGGGUGUGAAAGCUCGAGGCUCAACCUCGAGACGCCACUCGAUACUGUUUUGACUGGAGUCCGGUAGAGGAGUGCGGAAUUCCUGGUGUAGCGGUGAAAUGCGCAGAUAUCAGGAGGAACACCAACGGCGAAGGCAGCACUCUGGACCGGUACUGACGCUGAGGAGCGAAAGCGUGGGGAGCAAACAGGAUUAGAUACCCUGGUAGUCCACGCCGUAAACGUUGGGCACUAGGUGUGGGGGGCUGUCAACGCCCUCCGUGCCGUAGCUAACGCAUUAAGUGCCCCGCCUGGGGAGUACGGCCGCAAGGCUA